CUCUGAUUGUGUAAUAUGACAUUUGGCUUAGCGAUUUUAACAUAUUGCACAAAAUGUGGAUUUUCCCUAUUGCUGAGAAGUAAAACAUAAAAGAGAGACAUGGUAAUAAUCUGUACCACAAGAAUACAAAAAUAAAACCGUUAUUAGGACUUGCAGAAAUAUUGUUUUGUAUUUUGAUUUUUAACCAUUUUUUAAUCAUGUAUGUAUAAGCAUACAGCAUGAGGGGACGUGGAAAAAUGAAGAAGUUACAAUGGUGGCAAGAUGCAAAUUCAUUCUGGCAAAGUAAGAUGCAUACAACACAAUCAUGCUCAAAUCUGUGCCACUAAACUGUUACUGAUGCCAAAGGGAUGGAAUGAGAUUUGCAGCAUACAUGAUUAUUAUUGUUUCAUUUCAAAUGCAUGUACUUGUUUGCUUGCAGUUUUAUAGCUGUCCCCAAAAUGGAGAUGCAUACCGCACUGCUACACUGGAAGUAUUGUGUUAAACUAGAACACAUAAUACAGCAGUAGCCAUCCCUUUAACUUGGAUUUAAGGGAACAUAAUAAAUAAAUAAAUAAAUAGAGCAGACAUAGAAUGUAAAACAAACAAAACACAUAAAGAAGAUAACAUAAACAGACAUACAAUUAAAAUAUAAGCAUUCAUGAUCUGUAACAUAUUGUCGAUCAGACAUAAAAAGGCAGUAUAUUUGUCACAUGUUCCAUUCGGUAAUUGAGACUGUUUGAUUUUUUUCUUCUGUAACUAAAAAUAAAUGUUAAUGCUAGUGUUUGGAGAAGAUGACUCCUUUGUAGGAAUUAAAGGGAGGUGCCAUUGCAUAUUUUCAAGUAAUUAAAAAAAAUGUAAUGCUGUCAGAUAAUAUGUAAUUUCUUAACUAUAGCUUGUGUUUGUGAACCCCAUUUUUUGACAAUAUUAAAUGACCACUUAUGAUUUAUGGUAUUUAAAGGGGCAUUUUUGAAUUUUAAGGGCAAAACUUUUGGUUGCCCUUCAUAAUUAUAUGUUUUACAUUUAUUAACAUAUUAUUGUAUUAUUAUUUUGUAUUUAUUAAGCACAAGUAUAUCGCGUGAUGCUGAAAGAUAAUAACAUAAAAUAAUAAUACAAAAAAAU